GAUGAACGCUGGCGGCGUGCCUAAUACAUGCAAGUAGAACGCUGAAGGAGGAGCUUGCUCUUCUGGAUGAGUUGCGAACGGGUGAGUAACGCGUAGGUAACCUGCCUGGUAGCGGGGGAUAACUAUUGGAAACGAUAGCUAAUACCGCAUGACAACAGUUAUUGCAUGAUAACUGUUUAAAAGGGGCAACUGCUCCACUACCAGAUGGACCUGCGUUGUAUUAGCUAGUUGGUGAGGUAACGGCUCACCAAGGCGACGAUACAUAGCCGACCUGAGAGGGGGAUCGGCCACACUGGGACUGAGACACGGCCCAGACUCCUACGGAAGGCAGCAGUAGGGAAUCUUCGGCAAUGGACGGAAGUCUGACCGAGCAACGCCGCGUGAGUGAGGAAGGAUUUCGGAUCGUAAAGCUCGGUUGUAAGAGAAGAACGAGUGUGAGAGUGGAAAGUUCACACUGUGACGGUAACUUACCAGAAAGGGACGGCUAACUACGUG
rnacentral:rRNA from 1 species